rnacentral:rRNA from 1 species
ACAGGGAUUGCCCUAGUAACGGCGAGUGAAGCGGCAACAGCUCAAAUUUGAAAUCUGGCGUCUUUGGCGUCCGAGUUGUAAUUUGCAGAGGGCGCUUUGGCAUUGGCAGCGGUCCAAGUUCCUUGGAACAGGACGUCACAGAGGGUGAGAAUCCCGUACGUGGUCGCUAGCCUUUACCGUGUAAAGCCCCUUCGACGAGUCGAGUUGUUUGGGAAUGCAGCUCUAAAUGGGAGGUAAAUUUCUUCUAAAGCUAAAUACUGGCCAGAGACCGAUAGCGCACAAGUAGAGUGAUCGAAAGAUGAAAAGCACUUUGGAAAGAGAGUUAAAAAGCACGUGAAAUUGUUGAAAGGGAAGCGCUUGCAGCCAGACUUGCCUGUAGUUGCUCAUCCGGGUUUUUACCCGGUGCACUCUUCUGCGGGCAGGCCAGCAUCAGUUUGGGCGGUUGGAUAAAGGUCUCUGUCAUGUACCUCUCUUCGGGGAGAACUUAUAGGGGAGACGACAUGCAACCAGCCUGGACUGAGGUCCGCGCAUCUGCUAGGAUGCUGGCGUAAUGGCUGUAAGCGGCCCGUCUUGAAACACGGACCAAGGAGUCUAACAUCUAUGCGAGUGUUUGGGUGUCAAGCCCGAACGCGUAAUGAAAGUGAACGGAGGUGGGAACCCCUCGGGGUGCACCAUCGACCGAUCCUGAUGUCUUCGGAUGGAUUUGAGUAAGAGCAUAGCUGUUGGGACCCGAAAGAUGGUGAACUAUGCUUGAAUAGGGUGAAGCCAGAGGAAACUCUGGUGGAGGCUCGCAGCGGUUCUGACGUGCAAAUCGAUCGUCAAAUUUGGGCAUAGGGGCGAAAGACUAAUCGAACUAUCUAGUAGCUGGUUCCUGCCGAAGUUUCCCUCAGGAUAGCAGUAACGUUUUCAGUUUUAUGAGGUAAAGCGAAUGAUUAGAGGCCUGGGGGUUGAAACAACCUU